GGGGGGGGGGAGCUCAGGUGAAAGGAGAUGGAGAAGUGAGAAGCAAACCUCAAAAGUUCAGCAGUUAGCUGUUGUCCCGACCAAAGCUAUCAGGUCAUUCAAGCUGCGGACUAAGAAGGAGAGGGACAUCAGGCUUCGCACUCUCCUUAUGGAAUCGGCGCUGUCCCCAACUCCAGCACGCCUAGUGUACUUGGUGCCCGGCACCGCAUUUUUGGUGCGCAGUGAAGUCCCCUCCUCCAGCUGGCACCGCUCCUCCUCCAAGAAAGAGGGGAAGAGCUCCGCCUUGCAGUGGUGCCGAGGGAAGGAAAGGGGAAAGGCUGGUCCCGUGUCGGGCAGCCUUCGAUUUCUCCCCCCCGGCCCCAGGGCCUGAAGCCUCCAACUUGUGAUGAGUGGAGCAGCCCAGCACUGUCUGCACAUGCAUUUCCAGCAGUCAGGAUGCCAUCGACGGCAGAGGCUCUCCAGGCUGUGCGAGACAUUUUGAGUUUGAUGGUACCAGGGGCGCCACCGAUGACGGGCCCUCGGUCCCGCGGCAAGCCGCUGCUGGGUGCUUACCACUCUUUCGACGUGCAGUGGCCAGUCAUCUCAGCCCACGCCCGCCCUCGAUGCCAGUCAGGCUAACUGGUUCCCUGCCCGGGCGGGAGUCUCAAGGUCCCUCCACGCUGCGCAGUAGUGGACACAGGUGUUGUAGAUGCUCCUUCUCGCAUCGCAGCUACCGCAGCCAGUCCCGACACCAUCGACGUUGACAUUCCCGUUUGAAUUCCUGCUCUGCCAGAUGUCGCAGAUGGGACUCUCCUUGCAAUUCACCAACACCGAAGCAUUGCAGCCCCAGGCGCUGGGGCAAGUACUGGAGCAGCAUUUUCGACGGGUACCAAUCCUCGACGUUGAGGUCCUAGUUCCAUGGAAGAUGGCAUCACAGGCACCAUCGCUCCCGCCACUCCUAUGGGACUGUGUGGUCGAUGGUGACCUCAGCCUCGGCACCCAGCCGCCCAUCACCAGCUCGCGGGGCUCAGCCAGACCAGCUGGCACCACCAGGGCCCCAACUUGAACAGUGGCAGGGCCCUGUGGCAGGGACAGUGGUGCCAAUGGGCACUGUGGCCACAGAUGCUCACCCAGACGGGAACCUGUUCGGUGGCUGGGGCAUCCCAGACCCCAUUGGCCUCUCCAUCUCGGCCGAGGAACAAGUCACAAGUCAGCAGCUCCUUGCCCGGACUCCGACCUGGGGGUCGAUUCCUCAGUACUGCCGGAGGUCCACGGCUCCGGGCCGGCCAUCUCUCCGGCACUGGAUGACGCCAUAGCAGCACCGCCGCCUGUUAUGCCACAGGAGGAUUUCAAGCUGCAACAAGACCUGUUAAAGGGGGUGGCGUCCAACCUCCAGCUGCAGGCCGAGAAGACAGAGGGCCCGUGCGACACACUCUUUAAUGUGCUGUUGUCCUCGGCCCUGGGCCGUGUGGCUCUACCCCUCCACCAGGGAGUAGCCAACAUUUCCAGCACCUUGCGUCAAACUCCCUCUUCCUUGGCCCCUAUUUCCAAGAAGGCUGAGAGGAAGUACUUUGUGCUGGCUAAGGACCACGAGUACUUCUAUUCCCACCCAGUACCUAACUCUCUUGUGGUGGAAUUGGUUAACCACAGGGAAUAACAGGGCCAGCCCAUGCCCACCCCCCAAAAACAAAGACUCCAGGAGACUGGACUCCUUUGGUAGAAAGGUUUAUUCCUCUGCAAGUUUCCAGCUCAGGGUGACCAAUCAUCAGGCCUUACUUAGCUGAUAUGACUUUAACUUAUGGGGGUCUCUGCCAAAGUUUGAACCACUCCUCCCAGAGCAGCAGAGGAAGGAUUUCAAGGGUCUGGUGGAGGAAGGGGUGGCGGCAGCCAAAGCAACUCUCCAAGCAGUGGCCAAUACGGCAGCCCAUUUGAUGGCUUCCACCAUACCCAUGCUCAGGGAAUAGUGGUUGCUCCUGUCUGGGCUGUCGGCGGAGGCCCAGUCCAUCAUGCAGGACCUGCCAUUUGACAGAAAAGCAUUGUUUGCAGAUCAGACGGAUGUCCACCUGCAUGGGAUGAAGGAUUCCCCUACCACCCUGCAAACCUUGGGACUCUACGUUCCUCCGGCUAAGGACAAGGCAAGCCGCAAACAUCAGCUCAACCUGCGCAGAGCAGAUAUGAGCCGCCGUAUAAGAGGCUGAGAGACCAGAAGCAUCAGUCUCAGCAUCAGUCCCACUCUGCCCCACAGCCCAGGCCCUUCAAGGGAAAGAAGCAGGGAAAGAGGUGGUUUUGACUAUCUGCAGGGGGGUACCAGGGCAGUUGCCGGGGAGACCCCCCUAUUAAUUAAAUUAAUUAAAUUAAUUAAAUUAUUAAUUAAAGUUUGGUGUUCUUC